UACAGAGGGUGCGAGCGUUGUUCGGAAUUACUGGGCGUAAAGCGCGCGUAGGUGGUGUGUUAAGUCUGCCGUCAAAUGCCGAGGCUCAACCUCGUUGCACGCCGGGGAUACUGGCACGCUAGAGACAAGUAGAGGCAAGCGGAAUUCCGGGUGUAGCGGUGGAAUGCGUAGAGAUCCGGAAGAACACCGGAGGCGAAGGCGGCUUGCUGGGCUUGGUCUGACGCUGAGGCGCGAAAGCGUGGGGAGCGAACAGG
rnacentral:rRNA from 1 species